CAACUGUGGAAAAAAAAGUAAAUUACACUUUAAGUUGCUUACAUUAUCAUGUCUGCAGGUCACUAACUGCACUUGAAGGGAGCAAAGAUGAAACUCACAUCCUCACUCAGAGGGACAUGAUGUGUUGAGGUGUGACCAGUUACAGCUGCUGGAUUUUGGCAAACUGUGGUUUUAUGGAUGAAGAGACCUGCAGUGACGUUUGAAGGAAGGUUUACUGUGUUGAUAAAACGCUGGAAGCUUCAGAUGCAGCAGCACAGCGACACCUGCUGGUUUCCAUCACUUACAGCAGCUCUUCAUCACUGAUGCUGAAGCAUUUCAACACCUUACCAAAUUUCAUCAUUUUCAAUGUAAAAGUUUUCAUCCUAAAGUAUAAAAUACUUUAGUCCAGACACAGUUAAUGUAAAUGUAUUCAUUUAGAUAUAAAAACUGUUUAAUUGCCAUAUUUUUCAUUCCUGACUUGAUUAAAUCAAACUGACAUGAUGAAUUAUUAAUAUUCUUCAUUUAACUGCAGUUCUGACGUAACAUCUUCAGGUAGGAACUGCAGUAAAAUUACUUUUUG